rnacentral:tRNA from 1 species
CUAAGGAUGGUUCUUCAGAAGCUUGCUUCUAUCGAACCGUUUUAGAAACAUCAGUGGCCAACAGAUCGCCAGAUCCGUUGAGCUGCAUUGGCGGGAUUUCGCCGUCUACGUUUCUCUUUCUUCGCGGACGAACACGCGCUGGGGCUGCGAGCUGCAGAAUCCCUGGUCCUUAACAGGAUAUGCGUUAGGGGCUUGUAGCUCAGUUGGUUAGAGCGCGCGCUUGAUAAGCGUGAGGUCGGAAGUUCAAGUCUUCCCAGGCCCACCACUUUCAUCGAGUGAGCAUUCGUCUUCUGGUUACGGGGCCAUAGCUCAGCUGGGAGAGCGCGUGCUUUGCAAGCAUGAGGUCGUCGGUUCGAUCCCGUCUGGCUCCACCAGAUGGUUUGAUCACCGAGAUCUUGUACCGUCGUCCGCGAACAUCACUUCGCACUUACUAGUCUGGAUAGACAGUAAGCUGCGUGAUUUCUGACAUCGUAAAGAGGAGAUCGAUCCGAGUUGGAUCGUGCGGCAAGCAAUUGCCACGCGAGACUUCAUUAUCUCCGGAUCAUUUCGGCGCUCGUGCGUCUUUCAAAGGUAGCUCACAAGGCUGCGCUUGAGAGACAAGCGAGUUGUAAAUGAUCCUUUUAGCGAAGCUUGACCGCCUCGCUAUCGGAACGAUCUUACGAAGCAAGCUGGUCUUUCUAAUCAUGUCCUGCUGCAGAUAGCGUUCAUCGAGGGCGCGUGCCGCAAGGUAAUUCUGCAGACAACAUUCUGCCGAGUGUGUGGACAUUGAUAAUGAGAGC